UGCUACUGCAUUAUUACCAUGCCAUUAUUCAUCCGGGCUUAAAUCGGGCCAAAUCCGGUGUAAUAUUAAAGGGAAAAAAAAUUAUCUCGUUCAAUUUAUCGACCGACCUCUCCACCGCCGAUCGAAGAUACUCCGUUUUCCGUUGAUUUUCUAUUUCAGGUAUUUCUUUUUUGUCAUAAUUUUAAGCCCGAAAUGCUUCGUUUAAUUUAAGCGUAUCGAAUUCUUGAUACGUGUAUGGAUGAUUAUAAAGUUAUCGUCGAUAAUAUCAGUAUUUAUUUUCGAAACCCCAAUUGAACCCUUAGCUGUUGGAUUAUUUCACCGAUAUAUGGACCAUUGUAGAGUUUUCACCCAGAGGCUCGUCAAAUCACAAGUUUUCUUCAGAUUUUUAGAGUAAUAUAAAGUUCAAAGUUUUCAGCUAAAUUCUUUCUUUUUUUGGACUUUUCUUUUUGGAAUUUAUCUGAUGAUUAUGAAAUGUAAUCAUUAAUCAUGGUUUUGAAUAUUUAGGUAGUGCGUUAUGAAAUGACUUGAGUUUUGAAUGCUGGCAUUCUGUAUAAAACAUCAGAAGUUAGAGGAUUUUUAAUGUUAUCUUUGAACAGAGAAGUAACGUUUUAAUGUUCCAAACCACCAACAGGUUUGGUGGUAUUGAGGUAGAAACAGCACUUUAUAUGACCUACUUUUAGAGAGGCAAAAUUUAGUUUUGAAAAGGAGUCGAAAUGUUGUGUAAUUUAUUAUUAGUUACUAAAUCAAGUAGCAUGAAAUUGGAGCACGAGAAGUAUUAAUUUAGCUAAAGAGGAUCCGUAAGUGCUAACUUAAAACUUGGGAACAUGGACAUCUGAGCUUUUUUUUUUGUUUGUUAUCAUUUACUUAGUAACACAAGUUUGCAGUUAUUGAUAGCAAUAUUUGAUUUUUAUGUAUGGAAAGAUUCAAUUUUGCCAUCGUGUUGAUGGUGUAAGCUAUCUGUACAGGACGAUUAAGUCGACUUGGCCAUUUGAAUAGUUCAUUAACUUAUAUUAUAGUAUUUAAAGUCCUUGAUAUGUGUGGACUAAAUAGCAUUUAUACACAGGCUCAACGAAUUGAUGGUGGAAUUGUCUUCAUUAACUGCCUCCCUUUUUUGUUUGUUAAGUAGAAGUUCCCUGAAAUGUAACUGAAUAACAUCUAUCAAAGGACAGUCAUUUGGACGUUUUAACAAGAAUACAAAAUUGAAAUAUCUGCAUGAGCUGAGAUCAAUAGAAAUUUGUGCAAAACGUUAUUUCCUCUUUGUAAGGUAUUUUUUCUUCUGGAAAUCAAACUGAGAUAUGCACAUCCGUGAAACUCUUUUAAGUGGCUUGAAUGGCCUUCAGUUGCUCUUUUUUCCUGAAUUUUCUUAUUGAUUUUCAGACAUUUGAAUAAUUGUUUGAGUUUUGGUUCGUCUGACCUCCAUUUUUUUUUGUGUUGCAGGCAUAUUAUAUUCUUCUUUUACAGUUAAGAUUUGAGCUGUGAGUUUAAUGUGCCAUAGAUUGUAGUAUUACUAUAUUGCCAUGCACAACUGUGUUAACCGGUUUUCUAACACAGAAAGCGUGUGGACAUUGAUUCAAUGUCAGCAUCUAGCAAAUUUGAUCUAUCUUCUGGUAGCCCAGAUAGGCCUCUGUACUCAUCUGGGCGUCGUGGAUCCUACGCUACUGCUCUGGACAGAUCAGGUAGCUUUCGCGAGAACAUGGAGAAUCAAAUCUUAUCAACUCUUCCAAACAUGACAAGAAGCAGUUCUUCUGUGACACAUGGAGAUGUGAUGACUUUUUUUCAAUGUGUGCGUUUUGAUCCAAAGUCGAUGGUCGUGGACCAUAAGUUGAAUCGACCAGUGGCAUUUAAGCGACUUGCAACUGCUGCCGUUGGCAUCCCACUAGAAGAUCCUCUACCUGGAUCUUCAAAUAGCAAACCACCGCCUUCUCCAUCAUCAGAUGAUCUCAGACGACUCAGGGCUGGUGUACGGGAAGGUGGUAGUAAAGCUAGGUAGUUACCGCUUACUCUUUUUUUUUCUUUUUCAUAUGAAUUUUUACGAGGGAUAUGGAUAAUUUCUGAACUUACACCACGUAUCAGGGAACGUGUAAAGAUAUUCAAUGAUUGUUUAUCUGUAAUCAACAAAUGUUUCCCAACCAUUCCAUCAAGAAAAAGAUCCCGACUGGAUACCUUAUCAAAUGACCGAUCCAAUGCCUUGUUACCAACUGAUCGGUCAAGUUCAGGGAUGAGCAUCAGCAAAAUGGGAUCACAGAGUCAUGCCAGUACGAGUAGUUUUGAACUGGAGCAACAAAGAUCAGAAGAAAGGACAAAAAUUUUGAUUCCAAACAAGCGCACACGAACUUCUAUGGUAGACCCAAGGGUAUGUUUGGUUGCUUUCUUAAAAUGUUCUUUUCUCUGUACAGAAUUGAUGUGGUGGUCUUUAUGCAUUCAUUGUUGUUCUCAAGUUGUCUGCAUAUUUUUUUGUGCUUAAUUAUACUAGAAUGAUUAUGGAAGGCUGCUUUAUAAUGUUCUCCUCAUUAGCUACUAGCUCUCAUCCUUUUGUCUGAUUUCUUGUAUUAUAGGAUUGUAAUAACUUCUGUUUAGUCUUAAUUUUAUGUGAAUGAUUUCCUACUAUUGUUCUUACUUGUUUGAAAGUUAGUAUCUAAAUAAAGAUAAGCAUUAGGGUUCAAGGUGUUUUGCUCAGUUCUCUUUUUAUUUAUAUUUCCUUUUUAUCAAUUCGUAAUCUUGGUUGAUUACCUUUUGUCCAUCUUGAUUAUUCUUUCUGGUUGAAUUUAAUCUCCUGCUAAACUUUCCCUUGCUUUCUCUAUUGGGUUCUCUUCUUUAUUCAUUUGUACCUUCAAACGAUUUCAGUUGAUUUAUAUGGAUGUCCAGGCAAAUACCCCUGCAAGGCCAGCUGGAGUUAAGGACAAGGAUAGGGAGAUAAUAAGAUUUCCUAACAGUGGCAUGAUUAAUGGCGAGGAUCGAACAUCAUCCCUUACCGUUGAUGGUUGGGAGAAAUCAAAGAUGAAGAAAAAACGUACUGGAAUAAAGACAGACGGUACUGCAAGUUCAAUGGUGAUGAAAUCUGCUGAUGGCUACAGGGAGUCUAAGCAAGUAAUGCAGCCACGACUUCCUACUGAUGCCCGUUCAAGGAUGAAUGAUUCUUAUGGCGCCAGGUAUUGCUUCUCAUACUGUCACAGGUCAGGCAUCUGCUGGUGGUGAGAGAUUGAUUGCAUUUGUUUUUGUAGAGCAAGUUUUGCUAAGCCUAAAAGAAAGUUAAAGUUACUUCAAAGUGAAUUUUUGUUAUCAAACAUGUUUGGGUGGGUUAUGUGCUCUAGUUGCUUAUGUUGAUGGUAGGGGAGGGGUCACUUUUAAGUAACUGCAUAUUUCCAACUCUUACUGACCAAAAAAAAAAAAGGAAAAAAUCAUUUGAAUCCUUUCUUAUUUACUUAAAGACUUACUUAUUGGUGAUUUUAUGCUUAGCCAAACAUGUGCUUUAUGUUGUUAUGAAGUUGUUUGCGGUCAUUUGAGUAAUUGGAAUCCUAUUUUUAGCAAUUUACUUUUAUCAAACUGAACAAGGAGAAUUUUUUUGAAAUGAAGGGCUGUAAACUGAGAUUGGAUUCAUUUUGCCAAGAGUUUUGUUGAUAUUAACUUCUGUUAUGAUCUUUAAUUCAAUUUUAUUGGUCCUUUGGAUGAUUACAAGUUACAACAAUAUAGUCUACUAUUUUAAAGUAUAUGGUAUUUUUUUAAUUCCAUGGUUUUACAGAAAAGAAAUAGGUUAAUACAACUAUGUUGCUCACGCUUCAAAGUUUUCCCCCCUUACUUUCAUGGAUUCCAUCUUGUACUACCUUGUGUACUUAGCCCUUGUUUGAGCCCCAUUUUUGGGGGGGGAAAAAUGAAUUUUUGAAUAGUGUAUUUAUGGGAAAUAUGUGGUUAAAAAAUAAAGAAAAAUUUUAGAUUUACGUGUAAUAUUAUUUUAUUGAAGAUUGUGAUUGAAAUGAUGUCAAAAUAUUGUAGAAAAAUGCAUUUUUCCCCAAAGAAUGGGGAUCAAACAAGGGCUUAAUAUAUUUUAGCUCAUGUAACGAAAAUGUUAAAGCUCUGUACCUUCUCUGUUAUGAACUGUUGAUGGUUCAUCCACAUUUUUAUUCAUGUUCUCAGGUAGAAUCACAAAUUAGAGGCAUCUGUAGUGGAAACGAUAUGUUGUGAAGUCUGGUUUUAGUGCUUAUGGUCUUGGCAUUUUACUAUUUUAGAACGUGAUAGAUUAAUUGUUUAGACUAGAUAUGAUGUUUUAUAUCCUAUUCUGUUGUAUCGCUGAGUAUCUAAUCUCGUACCAGUUUUGGAGUUUCUUGAUCCAUCUGUGGAAUGCUGAUUUUAUAUAGUAUGUGGUCUUGAUUUUCUGUAUGCAGCGCACCACUUGUGACUUUUGAUGUUGGGUUAUGUGACUUAUGCUCGUUGAUUAAAUUUAGAGCACUUUUGGUUUCGAAAGUUCCUUUGAGAUUUUGCUUCACCUUCUGUUUGCUUGGUUGCCCAAUGACCUGCCCUAUAAAUUCAUGUUUCAACUGUCAGUUACCCUGUAAAUCUUCUCGGGAUCAGUAAAUGAUAGUAAAAUGAGGAACUUGACAGCUAAGUUGCACGCGACACGGACAUGACUCGACAAGGACACGCCAACAUGAUUUUUUGAAAAAGUAGGACACAGACAUGUUGGGGACACGAUUUUAAUUCUUUAAAAUUUUAAUUCAUAUGUUAAAUCGCUACUGGCUGGCAUGUCCAACACUUGCCCGAUGGGUGUCUAUAAAAUAUCUCGAGUGUUGGUUAUUUAAAGAUUAUAUAAAAGAAAUGGGGGCAAGGGCACAUGAUUGAGUACAUGUCCUUGAGUUUCCGCAGUGUGUCAUGGUCCGACAUGUCAUGUUCUAGUAGAAGUGUCUGUGCGUCAUAGCUUGACGGCCUCUGCUGUUGUCCUAUUUUCAGAACAAAUGUUUCUGUUUAAAUCUUUUGUAAACCCGAUUGGAUGCAACCAUCUUUUCUAUUGGAAAUUAGUAACUGCUGGGGAACCGUUUCAAUUUUUUUUUGUGUUAUUUUUUAAUUUCAUUUUUCUUUAUAUUGCUUGGGUCAAGCCUCAUUUUUUAUCCAAGUGAGGACUAUCAUUUUCCAAACCUAAUACUCUUAGCAUUAACCUUGAAGCAGACCUGGGAUUGCCAAUGGGAGUGUAGGAGUUGGAAAAGCUGAAUCCUCCUCGCAGCAGACUGGCUUAGGCACACGGCCUAUCUCUAGGGCUGAGCUGGACAACAGCCCCAUUCUUCAUGAGAGGAGAGAGCGUCCAACUGCUCCAGAGAAAGAAAGGGUGAAUCUUAGAGCUGUUAACAAGUAUGGAAAUUAUCAUCUCACUUUUCUUACUUAAAAAAUUUGGUUGAUUGCAUGGUUCCACGAUUUAUUCAUUUUUCUUCUUUUCGAUAUUUCUCUGGCAGUUGGAUUGGGACUGUAUGUGGGGAUGGGGUUCGCUUGUGUGCUUGGAUCCAUAUGUAUUACUUUUUUGGAUUUUCUUUUCCCUGGUGUAAAUAUCCCUCUUUCAUGUUAGAUAACUGUUUAUUUCUUUUGUUCCAUUAACCAGGGCAAAUGCCCGUGAAGAUUUCAGUUCAGGCAGCCCUACCUCUAGCUCAAAGUUGAAUGCAAAUGCUCAGGCUCCACAUUCUGGUACUGAAGGUGGUGUAUCCAAGUUCUCUCAAGUGGUGCAACUGGCUACAGAAUCUAAUGAUUGGGAGCUUUCUAACUGUACAAGCAAACUACCUGGUGCUGUUGGGGCUAAUAACUGUAAACGCACACCUUCAACGCGGUCUUCUUCACCUCCUGUUGCUAAUUGGGUCCAGAGACCGCAAAAGAUCUCUCGAACAGCAAGAAGAACUAAUAUUGUUCCUAUUGUCCCCAGCAAUGAUGAGACCCUUACCGUUGAUACGACAUCUGAGGUGACGAGGAAUGAAAGAUGCAUGCCUGGCCAUUCUCCUCGGCAAAUUAAACAAAUAAGUGACUUCUCUUCAGCUGCAUUUUCUGAAAGUGAGGAAUCAGGGGCUGCUGAAGCUAAGCCAAGAGACAAAAACAAGAAGUUUGAUGAGAUGGAUGAAAAAUGUGGACAAAAUAUCCAUAAAAUGUCAACCCUUCUGCUACCACCUAGAAAAAAUAAGGCAGCUAGUGGGGAAGACCAUGGAGACAGUGUCCGAAGGCAAGGGAGGAGUGGCCGUGGCUUUACUUCCACCAGGUCCCUCAUGACUUUAACAGUUGAAAAACAUGGAAAUGUCGGAACAACAAAACAAAUAAGAAGUUCAAGAUUUGGUUUUGAAAAAAAUGAAAGGUUCAAUAUAAUUUCCCUUUUCAUUUCAUCCCUCUUUUGCUUAUUUGCUCCUCCAUAAUGAGCGCUAACAUGUUUAUCCCGGCUCCAUUUUAUUCAAAAUGCAUUUUUCUCACUCUUAUUUUCAACUACAUAUUCUACAAUAAAAUAAUAAUAUUUGUAAAUCCAAAACUUUUCUUACUUUUUUAACCUCACAUUCUUAGAAAAAUCACUAUUUCAAAAUAUAUUUAUCUCCAAAAUUUGAUUUUUAUGGAGCCCAAACAAAGGCUUAUUCGUUUGAGAUCUUCUUAUAACUUGGUGAACAUUUUGUUCGACAGGGCAGGUCGACCACCUACGAGGAAACCCUCUGAUAGGAAGCCUUAUACACGUCAGAAGCACACAGUUAAUAUAGCACCAGAUUUUCUAGGUAAUUAACUUUGGUCUAAAUAUUUAAUUUGUUAUAUCUAUAUAACACAAUUAGCUGUAUGUGUUUAUUACUGUUUUUUAUUUUUUUCCUUUCAAUUUUUUUAGUUGGUUCAGAUGAUGGGAAUGAAGAGCUGUUGGCUGCUGCAAAUGCUGUUACAAAUACUGGUAUUUUUUUUAAAUAGAAAAAGUUGUUUCUCAAUUUCUUAGAAUAUUUUCUUUUUGUGGCAUUGAUUUGUUUGUUGUGAUUACAGCACUAGCCCUUUCUAACUUGUUCUGGAGGAAGAUGGAACCUCUGUAUCGUCUCAUAUCUGAUACAGAUAUUGCAUAUCUGAAAGACCAGGUACCUAUGUUGUAUUUGAAGAACUCUUGAGCUAUGAUCCAGCAAGAAGCGACUUCUUCUAGCUCCUGAUGUAUAGCAAUCAAAUGUCGUCACUUGCCUUAUCAACGUGUUUUUAUUCUUUGUUUAAUAUCUAAGAAUUAGAUGUGUAUUCCUUUAUCAAGUACAAUAUUCUCUCUUGUUACCUGCUGAACUUUAUUCUGCAACAACUGUCAUGGUUCAAAUUAGGCCCGAAUUUGUUAAAGCUUACUUAACCAAGCAGUUCAUCACUGUGUAUGUAACAACUGCUGAUUAUCUUAGACACCAAAACUAAUAUUUACUGUGUCAUAACUGCCAUAACCACCGUAAGUUCCCCUCAUAUUAAAAUUUACUUUUAUGUUGAUUAUAAUAACUGUAUCAAUACUUCACUUGAAACAGAAUUCAUGUUUUUUUUUAUAGGUAAUCAGAGAAUUUUAUUCCUUAAAAGAGAGAACACGGGAGGUAUACAAUCACUUUAAGCAUGAAGGGAACAACAAGAAAUUAGGCAACCCUACAACAAGAUUUUUAGUCACUGCAUUAAACUAAGUAUACAAAGUCAAGUAAAAUAAUUCUCUUAUCUGCUCUGUUGUCUUUGUUUAGUCUUCGAAACAUCGAUCGUUCCGUUCUCUCCAUAUGCACUAUACAAUGCAUCCCGAGAUAAGAUUCCAGAGAAGUUUGCUAUCCUUAUCUCGAAGUUUUCUUCUCGAUGCCCGCACCAAGUCUUCUAUACGCUUAGGUAGUACCCAAUCCAUUGAUUGAGAAGUCAGAAUACUGUUCCAAAGCCAACGUACACCAUCACAAUGAAUGAAUAAAUGAUCAAUCAUCUCUCCAUCCUUCUUGCACAUAUUGCACCACUCGGUUACAUAAAAUCCUUUUCGUCGAAGAUUAUCCACCGUUGACACCUACCCCCUCAUAACUGUCCACAAUAGAAAUGCUACCUGUGGAGGCAAUUUACUUUGCCACACCAUCUUCCAAGGUAAUGAACUCUCCACAAAUCCCAAAAGGGAUUGAAAGUAUGAGCGGACUGAAAAAAUACUAUCUCGAGCCAACCUCCACCUGCUACAAUUACCCUCUCCUACCCGAAUUUGUAUCUCAUGCAGAGCGGUCAAAAACAACGAAUAAUCUUCCAAUUCCCAAUCCAGUAAGCCCCUCCCAAAAGUAAUAUUCCAACUAUAACCCCCAUUAUGGAUGUUAAGUACAUCACCCACCAUAGCAGCAAGCUCUAAUGCAAUGCGGUACAAUGAGGGAAAUCCCUCCUUUAACGGUUGAUUGCCACACCAACUAUUAUCCCAAAAUCUAAUAUCAGUGCCAUUUCCCACCACAAAAUUUAGUUUGUAAAAUCACUCCAUCCCCGUCGGAUAUACCUCCACAAACUCACCCCAUAGGAGCCACGACCCUCAACUGUACACCAACCCCCCUCCAUCACACCAUACUUUGCUCUAAUGAUUUCUCUCCAAAAGCUCUCCCUCUCCAAUCCAAAUCGUCACAACCACUUGCCCAAUAAAGCUUUAUUAAACAAAACAAGGCUCCUCACUCCAAGCCCCCCAUCCUCAUAGGCAAACAAAUAGUACCACAAUUAACCAAAUGCAUUUUCCUCUCCUCCCCUAACCCUACCCACAAGAAUUCUCUUUGAAAUCUCUCUAAUCUGUUUGCCACUACAACCGGAAUAGGAAAUAAUGACAAAAAGUAAGUGGGGAGAUUUGAGAGAGUGGAUUUAAUUAAAGUAAGUCGGCCUCCCUUAGAAAGAUACAUACGCUUCCACCCUGCUAACCUCCUCUCCAUUCUUUCCAUAAUACCAUUCCAGAUAUGUGUACUUUUAAACCGUGCCCCUAGCGGGAGGCCUAAAUAUAACAUAGGCAAUUGUGCAAUCCUACAUCCCAAUAUGCCAGCCAACUCCUCCACGUUAGUGACCUCCCCAACUGGAAUAACCUCAGAUUUCCCCAAAUUGAAUUUUAGAAACAGAAUUCAUGUUGUUUUGCAUUGUAAACAUUUCCGGCAUAUUCCACUUAAUGUCAUGGCUACUAGCUACAGCUACUGCUGAAUUCUAUUUGAAAGAUCAACCUGUCUUUCAGAAGAUUAACCUGGAAAAAUUACUUAUUAAUCAAUAAUCUCAAAGAUCUUCUGAGUUUCACAUGCUCAGUUAACACUUGGAAGCAGUCGCCCGAAACACCUAAAUAAUUAGGAGGGAUUUUCUUUAGUUCCUGACAACAUUCUUUAGCUUUCAAAUUUUGCAAAGAAACAUUAUAGUGAAGUGGAGAAACAGCCUAUCUCAUCCUUCUUCUAUUGGACCUUUUUUUUUUAAGUUGGAAAUUAGAGUAGAAUGAGUUCAUUGUGGAGUUCCUUUUUUGUGAAUAUUAUUGUUGUGCUAUAUCAUAUGCUUUUGAGAUUGUAACCAGCUAGAUGAAUUUAUCUUUUACAACCUAAAUUGUAAAGGCAAACCUGAGAUUCUGUAUUUUCUGAACAAUAAAAUAAAUAAUAUUAUUGUAAUGUCCUGUCGAUGUGUAUAUAUAAUUUCCCCAAUUUUUUAAGAGAGAAGUAAUUUAAAAAACAUGACUUAUAUUCAUGUUUGGGUGAAUAUGAUCACUUUUUACUAUAACCUUCCUAUUAUUUUUUCUUCGUAUAGAUUCCUGAAAUAGAAGAAUUUUGAGAUAGAGUUGAGUUCCCCCCUUUACAUUUGAGUGGUGAAUUCUAUGCCACGACUUCUUUCUUGUUUCAGUAAUUUGAAUUCUCCUCUUUUAAGUAUGAAGAUUCACUAAUCAAAUUUAUGUUUGUGUUGAAAGGAAAAGGAAAAGUCCUAUAAAAAAAAAAAGGAAAACGAAAAGUAACUCAACUUAUUGGUAUUUUGGUGCGAAAGUGGAAUUAAAGUUCGUGAAACAAUAAUAAAGUUGAACUAACUCGAAAAUUUGUAAAGAGUGAUUUUAUUGUAAUGGGUUGGUGAUUGAAAAUUUUUCAACGGCUUUCUUUAUAUAGGCAAAAUAAUGUUAAGGAAGAUAAGUAAUUAAAACCUAAAAGAAUAAUAAGUCCUAAUUUAAACAAGAAAAUAAAAUUUUAUUACAAGAAAUAUUUCUUGUCCUAGUUGUCAUAAAAAUUUCCUAAAUCAAUCUUUCUUACUUGGAAAAAACUCGUCCUCGAGUUUCUUUGAAGAAAAGAAACUUCAUUGGAAAAAUAUUCGAAAUUUCUGGAUCACGUUGUGAGGAUUCAAACUUAACUUGGACUCAUAUAUUGCACUCAUUGAAGUGACAAAUUUCCAUGGCUGUCAAAAUAUGCAAUUUUGAUCUUCUUACCUAUUCAGCCUACAUUCCAGAUUUUUAGAUCGAGAUUGGUAAUUUUUGCAAUUUUCCGAUCGUUGCGAGUAUGCAUGCCACUAUCACGUAUAUGUCAAUCAAUCAAGGGCUAAAUCUUGAUUUGAUACCAAUUUUGGUGUAGAAACGAAAUUGAAGUUCUUGGAAUAAGAAUAAAAUUGAACCACCUCGAAAAGACGUGGAGAAUAAUUUUCUUGUAAUGAAUUGGUUACUGAAAAAAUCAUAAAGCCUUUUGUUUAUAUAUGCCAAAAUAAUCUUCUAAUCCUAAUAGCUUAAGGGGGUUAAAUAAUUAAAACAAAAAAGAAAAAAAAAUAGAAACCUAAAAGAAUUAAAAGCCCUAAUCUAAACAAGAAAUAAUUCCUCGUCCUUUUUGUGAUAAAAUUGUCCUACAUCAUAUUCACGGAUGAGAGCUGCUUCCAAAAAAAAAAAGAAAAAAAAAAGGACAAUGAUUAUGUUACGUCGUUGAUUAACAUACCAUAUACCAUAAAUUCUUUGGGGAACAUAAUAUUUUUGUCUGCUGCAUGGAGAAUUUAUUUAUUUUAUUUAUUUUUUGGUUCUACACUUGCACAUUAACCUAUGGUGCACUGUUCCUAUUUUUAAAUCUCAGAUCUCUAUAUCUUCCAUUAGUAGAAUAAUUUCCAGACAUGUCUUGUCUGCCUCACUGCUGAAAAUAUUACUUAUCUCAUAAUGUAGACGAUGGCUUCUUCCUUGCAGCUAAAAUUUUGUUUUUCUGGUUGAUCAUAAAUUUUAUCUAUUCUCUUCCCUUGAGUACCAGGUUAAUCUUGGUUCCACCGUGGAUACACCGGCCCUGGUGCCUCUCGAUGCAGAUGUUUCUGCUUCGAUCCACAAUGGAUUUGGGUCGAAUGACCCUAGGAGAGGGGAAAGUGAAAUAAAAGGUGUUGAACUUAGCCCAGAACAUUUAGCUCCAGGGGCUAACACACCAACAGAGAUCUCUCUUUUUCAGACGCUGAUUGCAGCUUUAAUUCCUGAAGAAGGAAAUCAAGAGCUUUGCAGCAGUGGAAAUGAAGACUGCAGAUUUGAUGUGUAUGGAUCUCGUUUUGAAAUGGAAAAAGAUAUGGAUUCACAUACUUUCUGCUCGCUGAGGUCUCAAAAUCGUGAUAUUUCCAGAUAUUCUGCUUCUAAUGGUUACAGGAUAAACGCUAAUGGAGAAAUCUUCUAUGAACUGGACCCCACGUUUCCAGAUCAUGAUGGCAGUUCUAUUCCAGACACUGGAAUUAUUCCAGUCUGCAAUCAUUUGCAAAAUGGUUUACUUUCAGACCAGAUUACACCUGGCGUAGAAUGUUCUGAAUAUCAGUAUAGUAAUAUGUCAAUAAAUGAAAGACUUCUCGUGGAGAUUCAUAGUAUUGGACUUUACCCAGAUUUAGUGGUAUGUUUGUUUUUCCUUCAAUAUGCAGAUAAUCUUGUAUAAUACGUUAUAUUUUCACAGCCUUUCCCUGAUUUCUCUGCAUUCCUGUGAUUGCCAUGCCCUUUUGAUCAGCCUGAUUUGUGUCAGAAUGGAGAAGAAGAAAUCAGUGGAGAUCUUAGUAGAUUAGAUGAGAAGUAUCAAGAAGAGGUAAGAUCAGAUGUUUACCUCUCCUCUUCCUAUUUCUCUACUGCUCUGUCAAUUCAAAGAAAUAAGAGAGAGAGAAGGAAAAGAAAAGAACCCUAAAGGAAAAAGAAAAGAAAACGAGGGUCUGUACACUUAUUACGCAAGGAUUUUGGAAGUUUCAUAUCCUGCUUAGAUCAUCAAUCAUGAUGCUCAGAAUCCUUUUUCAUUUAUGGAGUUGAAUACCAAUGGAGCAUGCAACUAUUAGUUUUCCACUCUCUCGGUGGUUUACCCUGUAACCUUGAUGUCGAUGAGAUGUACUUUUUGUGUGAAGUUUCUUAAAAUCACAAUUUUCUACUCAACUAUUCUCUUUUUGUUCUUCUGGUUAAUGUUGAAUCUGAACAUGUUUAGUUCUGGAAUUUAAUUCAAACCUCUGAUUUUGCAUAUGUUAGAUACUUCUUUUUAUAUAGUGAAGCUUCUAGAUUUCAGUGAAGUGUAUUAUUCAUGUCAGGAGCCUUUCUCAUAUUUUAGUUGAUGAAUAGGUUUCAAGGAAGAAAAGUUUGCUUGGCAAACUGCUAAAUUCAGCUUCUGAGGCUAAAGAGCUUCAAGAAAAGUAAGGAGUUUGUUCUUUAUUUUCAGACGUGGUUUAUUUGUGAUUUUUACUUGACUAUGAGUGCUUUUUGUCAAUAACCCAAACACUUUAUUCUAUCACAGCCUGUUCGAACAGUGUGCUUUAGAGAAACUUGUAGGAUUGGCUUACGAAAAGUACCGGGUAUUUUUUCUAUUCUAUAUCCUUUCUUUAUUUAAUUGAUUUUAAAUGCGCAUUUCCCUUUUAAAAGUAUGUAAAUAUAAUUUGUCUGCGUCAUGGAUUGACACAUCAAAUUUAUUUGUGAAUAUUACAUGUAUAUCCAUCAAGUUUGUUUGUUACAGGGAAUAUGAUUUCGUCCAUGUCAAUAUAUUCUUCCACCUUAAAAUUUAUGACAAUCCUAGUCAAUCAUUUUUUCCUUUUUUACCCUACCUUUUUUAUCAACUGGAAAAAUUAGUACAAGAGGCAGGGUGACAUACCAGCCUUACCUCCGAAGGUCGAGGAAGAAAAAGAAGGAUUAGCAAAAGCUGAAAUUGAAAGUACUACUCUUGUUAUAGUGAGCCAUUACAAAAUUUAAAUUUGGGAGUACUACACUCAUUACAACAAUAGAGACAGAGGAAUGCAGUAACUCAAUUGACCCAAGAAAACUCAAGAAAAUAAUAUAACUAAGUCUGCAAGCAGGCACUAAAGACAACCAAAUACACAAGCAAAUUACACAUAGCAUGAGUAUGCAGUCACAUGUGCAGUAAAUUAAAUAAAAUAAAGUAAUGCAAUGAUGGAUCCUACAGUAGGCUGGAAAGCAAAUAUGCAAUAACCUAUGGCCUAAUAUGCAGCAGUCACACUACAUGGAAAUGAAUAAAUCCUACUGCUUUCUCUUCCAUUGUCCACUUGAGACUCAUUCUCAAAUAUAGAAAGCAAACUUUGGUAUGGAUUUAUUAUCAGAUCUGGGAGAGAUUCAUCACCGAAGUUUUGGUAAGCAUUGGAAAAGCAUCCCAGCAGGUUAUUGAAGAAGUAGACCAAUCUCAAUCAUCUACUUUGCAUUAGAAAACAAGGCUGUUUAGUCAGUUUCUUUGGGGCCUGCAGAUAGGGAUUCUCGUUCUGUCUGUAUGUAAGAUGCCAAUAAUCGUCCCCAUUAAGUCUUUAGCAUAUAAUAUUCUGCUCUAUUUAGUUUUGUUAUCUUUAUUUUUUAUUAGUCAGUCUUAGAAUCUUGUUCAGUCUUAAAAUCAUGUGACCAUUAUUAUUGAAUCUAAUGCUGUUUUAGUUGUUGAAUCUGCCGGACAUUUUGUAUGUCAAUCCUGAAGAUAUAGUUACUAACACACUAGGAAAUUCCAUAUCUUAAUAGAACGGAGAUUUUGGUAAGAUUAUUGAUGUUUGCUAUGGGAAUGCUUUAUGUACAAUUGUAAACAUAAUCAAAUAUCCCUACCCACCUAAACAAGAAAAACAAAAGAAAAGAUUAAGAAGAUCAGAGACAAAAACAUAUUAAGCCCUUGUUUGAGCCCCAUUUUGGAGGAGAAAAUGAAUUUUUGAAUAGUGUAUUGAUGGGAAAUGUAUGGCUAAAAAAUAAGAAAAAUUUUUGAUUUGCGUAUAAUAUUAUUUUAUUGAAAAAUGUGUGAUUGAAAUGGUGUCAAAUUACUGUUGAAGAAUGUAUUUUGUUGAAAAAAUGGGGCUCAAACAAGGGCUAAAUAUGAAAAAGAAGAAAAACGAACAAAGACUGGAGAUUGCUUCCUUCUCGAAAGUCUAGUUUCCUUAUAUUCACCUAUGGAUUGAAGGAACGAAAAAAAUAAUAUGACUUCUAGAAUCUAGAUCAUCUUUGGGUUGGCUUAAAAAGUUACUUAAGUUUAAUAAAUGAAUAAAUUUAAAUAAUAGUCAAUGUUGGAAAUGAUUAGUUAUUUUGAUAGUAAGGUCAGAAUUACUUUCAAAUGUGUUACCAAAAGUUAUUCGUCAUCCCUCCCAAUGGAGAUCCCUUUCGUCAAAUCCAAAACCACCCACCCAACACCUAAUCACCCAACCACCGCCUAACCACUAGUCGGUGCCGACGACAACUACGACGACGGCCAUAAGGCCCCAUUUGACAAACCCCAAAUCAUCGGCAGCCACAACUUGACCCACACAUAGGCGGUGCCCUAGGUGGAAACCUUAGCAUCACCAUCGAAAUGCUAUAAGUAGAGGCAUGCUUUUUUGGGUUGACAUGGAGGUCCUAGGCGUCGGCAAACAAGGCGGAAGGGGGGAGUCGAGUUACAUUAGGCACCAUCUGGGAUCCCAUCCCAGUUUACGCAAGAUGUGGCCGUCCUCCUGAUAGACGUGCCUGACCGGCGGACUUUGCAACCAUUCUGACGUCGAAGGGUCUGUGGCGAGGAGCACGCUCCGCUUCGACAGCUCGUCCGUCGACGUGUGAAGCCCACAUGUCUUCGCUGGAGAGUCUGAAAAAUCCUCUCAUCGAUUUUGGUUCAUCCUGCCAGCCUGUUCUAUCGUUAGAUACGUCAUUUAUACACAAUCAGGGGAAAAAGUUUGCUGAUGCAUACAGUAUGAUGGUUUUCAAUUGUCGUUUUAGAAUUGAGGGGAAGGAGUUUGCAGUGAUUGUUAAUGAUUUCAUAACUGUUAUGAGGACAUAAUAGAGUUCGAAGAUAUUGAAUGCAAUCUACAUGGAGAGGUUUGGUGCACUCUGGAUGGUGAAUAUGGUGGAUAAGUUGAGGGUGGCUAGUAAGUUGAAGGAUUUUGUCACUAAGUUCAAUGAGUCUUCAAGAGCUUUUUUGGCACAACGUUGUGAGAACAGUCGUCCUAGGUACUUGAUGGUACAUUGUAUGUGAAGGGGCAUCAGAAAGGAGUUGUGAUGGUGCCGAAAGACUUGAAUGGAGAGGGAUCGGCAUCAAUUUUGCUGGUGUUUUAGGUAGUUGUCAAUUCAUUCGUCACUAGAGACGAGACCAAAUGUCGAAUGGUGCCCGAAAGUAAUCAACAAGGAAUGACUUAAUGCCGGAGUUACGACGAACUUACAGGCUCCGCAGAAUGUUGAUCAAUGGGUGCUAAUGCGAAAGGAAAUGGUGAUUAAUGGGAGUGAAAAUGAAGGUUAAUUUAUGUUGCCUAAGGUUAUGGAAGCAAAUGCAGAAGGUGCACAUGGUAUUUUUUUGAAUAGCGCUGAAAUAAAGGCCCGUGUCUAGGCAUUAAACGGGGAGUUGCUGGAAUCAAUCAGGCUAUUGGGAAGUGGGUUUGAAGCGGGCUCCUAGAUAAUUUGUCACAAGUGUGGGGUGGGCAUGGAUGAGCCUUCGACGAUGGGAAAAAAGUAGCGAGUUUGGCUCCUAAGGAGUUAAACCGAAGGUGGUCCAUACGAAAGAAAAACAGGUGAUGAUUAAGUCCAUUUACGAUUCUCAGGCAUGGAUUGUAGCGGUGUACUCUAGUAAUGACGAUAGGGUCGGUUUAGUGGGGUUGUAUAGGGAUGUUAAAGACUCAGGGAUCAAAGCAAAUCGGGAGGUGGUAACUUGGUCCGAGGAAGGGGAGCCGAGUAUGGCGAAUAAGGAUUCAGUGACAAUGGGUGCGAUGGACACGAUUUCGUUAGUAGAGGGAGUUUUGUCAAUUGAGCAAGCGACGGGGUAUGUAUUGGUAGAGAAUUCAGUUUCAGCAAUUGUGAAAGAGCACGAGGCGACAAGCCCGACAACUAUGAUUGUGAACACAUACAAUUGGAGGUACUCUAAGUGCCUCAAAGGAAGGGACUUAGAAAAUGAAAAAGCUCUAGUGGUGUAGGUAGAUGGAGUCAAGAAAGGAGAAAUAGACAGUGAUGCAGGACAGGUGGAGGAAGUGAAGGGACAUAUCUAUGAUCGUUUGGAGUGUUGUCACGCAAAAAAUAUAGAAUCCACUCAUGGAGGGAGAAGUCCUUGCCGUAUCAGGUACUAAUCUAUUUUGAAGUUAGACCCCCCCACCUUGGAAUUAGGUUCUUCAAAAAAUUCAGGACUUCAGUAAGAUGGUUGGUGUGUCUUGUGAUGGAUAUGAAAGUAGACUCUUGUAAUUAUUUGAGGAACUGGAGGCUAGUAGGGGCAGGGAAUGAGUACACAAGGAGUUAAAUCAAGAAGAAGGGGUGAUUUUAACUUAAGUAACUCGAAUGGUCAGUAAACCAUGGCGUUAAGGGUAGUGACUCAAAGAAAGGAAUGUUAAGGAGGAUGAUGGAGUGCUAAAAUGAUCCUAAAAAUUAUUAACUGGAAUGUGAGAGGGCUUAAUGAAUAGGUGUUCGAAUCCUGUUAAGGGGAUGGAGAGCGGAUCUUGUCUGCCCACAAGAAACUAAGUCGGAGUUCCUCUCGAGGGCCGUGGUUAGUAACUUAUAGGGGACAUGAUGUAGGGUAUCAAUUUUUGGGGUCAUCAAGGGCUUUAGGAGGCAUGCUAAUCAUGUAGGACAUUAGAGUUUUCGAUAUGGAGGAGGUUAGUGUGGGGUUAUUCUUUGUAUCGCACUCAUUUAGAAAUAUUGGGGAUAGAUUCAAAUGGAUGUUUAUAGGAGUUUAUGGGCCUAACUAUGAUGAGAGUAGAGGGGGUUUGUGGGAUGAAUUGGCUGGUAUGAUAGCUUAGUGGAAUCUCCCAAUGUGUAUUGGGGGUGAUUUUAACAUGAUACGAUUUCCUUUUGACGAAUCUAACGACGGGAGACUAACGGGGGCUAUGAAGGACUUUUCAGAUUUUAUUUGGGAGAAUAUGUUGGUGGAUAUGCCAAUGAUUGGAGGAGAUUUUACUUGGUCAUCUAAUCGAGACCAUUAUGUUCUAUCUUAUAUAGAUCGAUUCUUGAUUAGUGGAGAGUGGGAGGCUAAGUACUCAGUUGUCGCGCAAAGGAGAUUAGGGAGAGUGUAUUCCGAUCAUUUCCUAUUCUUUUAUCUUGGAAUACAAGGGAUAGUGGAAGAAUGUCUUUUAGGUUUAAGAAGAUGUAGUUAAAAGUAAAAGGCUUUAGGGAGUGAGUAUGGACUUGGUGGGCUUCAUAUGAUGUCAAGGGAUCUCCCAGUUAUGCGUUAGAUUAGAAGUUGAAGGCUUUGAACGGGGAUUUAAAGAGGUGGAACGAGGAGGUGGUGAGCAAUGUAAACUGUUGUAAAAAUUAAAUGUCUUUCAGACAUGGAAGAGUUGUUUAGGCGGGAGGAGAGUCAAGGUUGGUUAGGGAAGAGGAGAGACGUGGAGUAUUAAGGGGAGAGUUGGAGAGGUUGGUGGAGAUAGAGGACAUUUCUUGGGGUCGCAUGGUUGAAAGAGGGGGACAAAUGCACCAAGUUUUUCCAUAGGGUCGCUUAUUCUAACGGGCGCAACAAUUCUAUCACAUUGUUGGAGGUAGAUGGGGUUACUUAUUAGGAUCCAAAGUAUAUCGGGACCCAAAUGGUGAGAUUUUAUCAGAAUCUUUAUUGAGAGCUGUUUGAGUGGAAGCCAGAGUUAGAGGGAUUGAAUUUUUCUACCAUCACGGAGGAGGAUGGUGGUUGGUUAAAGAGACCACUUGGGGAUGAUGAAAUUAAGGAGGUGGUAUUUAGUAUGAAUGAUGAUAAGGUAUCAGGAUCGGACGGUUUCUCGUUCUCAUUUUAUAAGGCGUGCUGGGAAGUGGUGCGACCAGACAUUAUGGAUGUUCUCACUUAUUUUUUUGAGUGUGGUAGGUUUUUGAAAAGUUUUAAUGUGACAUUUAUUGUGCUGAUUCCCAAGAAAUCAGGAGCAACUGAUAUUAAGGAUUUUUGCCCUAUUAGUUUAGUCAGUGAGUGUACAAGAUUAUUGCGAAAGUUCUGGCAAAUAGAUUAAAAGAAGUGCUAAGGAAAGUUGUCUAAGUUUCAGAAUGCUUUUGUGAAAGGGCACGAGAUUUUAGAUUCUGUACUUUUAUAGCGAAUGAAUGCAUUGACUCAAAUUGCUCUUGGGAGUUCUAGUGAUGCUAUGUAAGCUCGAUAUUUAGAAGGCUUAUGAUCACGUGAACUUGGGGUUCCUUUUGUACUUGCUUAGGUGAUGUGGCUUUGGGAUAAGUGGUGUAAGUGUUAUCAAUUUUAUAUCUCUACUAUAUUUUCAGUUUUGGUCAACGGUACUCUUGAAGGUUAUUUUAGGAGCAACAGGGGCUUAAGGAAAGGGGAUCCUUUGUUUCCAUUACUGUUUGUUAUUGUAAUGGAAGCUUUCAGUAGAAAGCAGGAGAAAGCUUUGAUGGAGGUUUGUUUGGGAAAGGUGAGCGAUGGCCCGAUCCUUUAAUGCAUCCUGCUGCUCCGCGGAGAAUUCCCCUCGCGGAUGGGGGAUCGAGGCUCGCUGUACGAUGCUAUCGAGUUCCCCCCUUAAGGGGCUUUACGGUUGGUCACGUGCAGGUGUCCCAUUUGUCAUUUACAGAUGAUACACUGAUCUUAUGGGAUGUAGAUGAUAAGUAAUUUAGGAACUUGCGCUGUUUGCUUCUAUGCUUUGAAGCGGUGUUUGGAUUGAAGAUAAAUCUGGCGAAAUUUGAGACUAUACCAGCAGAAGAGGUUGCUAAUGUAAAGGAGUUGGUUGAUAUAUUGGGUUGUAGGGUUGUGCAGUUGUCUAUGUCAUAUCUAGGGCUCUCUUUAGGGGUACGAUGUAAAAGUUUACAUAUUUGGAAUUGUAUUGUAGAAAGGGUGGAGAGGAGGUUAGCGGGGUGGAAACGUAUGUACCUAUCAAAGGGAGGUCGGUGUACUCUCAUUAAAUCUACUCUCUCUAAUCUUCCGUCUUAUUUUUUAUCAUUGUUUCCUAUUCCUAUUGUAGUAGCAAAUAGAUUAGAGAGGAUUUGAAGGGAAUUUCUUUGGGGAGGGUUGGGGGAGGAGAGGAAAGUUUAUUUGGUUAAUUAGGAUGAUGUUUGCUCUCCUAUGACGAUGGGGGUCUUGGAUUUAGGAGCCUUGUUUUGUUUAAUAAGGCUUUAUUGGGCAAGUGGUUGUGGCGAUUUGGAAUGGAAAUGGAGUGUUUUUGGAGAGAAAUCAUAGGGGCGAAGUAUGGUGUGACGGAGGGGGGUUGGUACUCGGUUAAGGUUCGUGGUUCUUAUGGGGUGAGUUUGUUGAGGUAUACUUGACGAUGGAGUGACCUCCAGGAUAGAUUGAUUUUUGCGGUGGGGAAUGGUAAUAAUAUUAGAUUUUGAGAUGAUUGUUGGUGUGGAGAUCAACCGCCAAAAUUGGGGUUUCCUUGCAUCACAUUGCCCUUGGGCCUUCUGCUACGGUGAAUUAUGUAUUAAGACAUUCACAAUAGGAGUUAUAGUUGGAAUAUUACUUGGUUUACAAGAUUGAGAAUUUGAUGAUUAUGUGCUGUUCUCCUUACAUGAAGUGGAAAUUCGAGUAGGAGGGUGAUCAUAGCAAGUGGAGGUUGGCACAUGAUGAUAUUUUUUCAGUUUGCACUUAUUUUAGAUCCCUUUUGGGACCUGUUUGAGAGUUCAUUCCCCUGGUAAAAGGUUUGGCAAUGUAAAUUGUCUCAAUGGGUGGCAAUUUAAACAACUUGUUCAUUCAUUGUGAUAGUGUUCGUUGGUUGUGGAAUAGUAUUCUAGCGUCUCAAUAUAUAGAUUGAGUGUUGCCUAGGCGCAUAGAAGAUGUGUUGCAUGCAUGGAGGAGAAAAUUUCGUGAUAAGGAUAGCAAGUUUGUAAGGGAUCUUAUCCCGCAAUGCAUUGUAUGGUGUGUGCGGAGAGAAAGGAACAGUCGCUAUUUAGAAGAUCAAACAUGGACGACAGAGCAAAUCAAAGGAUUGUAUUAUCUGACUUUGUAUACUUGGUUUAAUGCCGCAACUUCUAAUCUUAUAGAAGGACUACCUAAUUUCUUACUGUUUCUUUCUUGUUUAAAUUGAUAAUGCACUUCCUGUGUAUCUUCUUUUGAUUAAUAAAAUUACCUGAUUACCUAUAAAAAAAAGUGUUAUGAACUAUGUGUCUAAUUAAGGAAUAAACAUGAUGUAUGGUAGGAAUAUAAAGUCUUGAAUUAUUUUCUUGUUAGAGAGGAUUAUUUCCUUUUGAGAAAUAACCUCUUCAUGUAUAUAUAUUUGGUGAAUAGUUCCAAAUCAAUUAACAUGGUAUCAGAGCUAGGUUCUCAAAAUUAGGGCUUGCGAGUUUAAGAAAAUUUGUGGAAUUGUUCUCGGUGGUGGCUUUUUUCUGAGUCGGUGCUUUCUGUGUUGGAUCGACACUUAUCGGAGGUAAUUGUUGGUGGUUGAAGAUCAGGAGAGCCUUCUGUAGCAGCGGAAAUUGGGUUGCAUCGACUGUUCAUUGUCUUUUUGUGAUUUUGACUCUGUUUCUUUCCGGCUCCACGACAGACAACCCUGUUGACGUUGCGUGUAGCGGGUGUUGGGUGAGAGAUCGUCGUUUUCUCUUGACUUCUCUGGCUUUAUCGUUUCCUCUUCUCCUUUCGGUGGGUGAGUCGUCGUGUGCAGCAAUCUUCUGUGGCACCUACUAUAAACCAUCACUUAUCGUCUCCAUCUGCUGCUUCACCUCAGGAUUCGUCACCCUCUCUUGAUCCCAGUCUUGAUCUUCCCAUUACCCUUCAAAAAGGUAAACGAUCACGUACUUAUCCUGUUUCUUCUUUUGUUUCUUACCAUGUAUUGUCACAGUCUUCCAAGUCCUGUAUUGCCUCUUUAGAGUGCGUGUCAUUACCAUAAUCUAUGGUUGAGGCUUUGUCCCAUAGUGGCUGGCGAGCGGCCAUGCAGGAAGAAAUGAUGGCCCUGGAACAUAAUCAUACCUGAGAGUUGGUUCAUUUACCCCUUAAUAAAAAGGCAAUCGGAUGUAAAUGAGUGUUUACAGUCAAGAUGAACCCUGAUGGAUCUGUUGCUCGAUUGAAGGCUCGUUUGGUUGCUAAGAGGUAUGCUCAGACUUAUGGUGUGGACUACUCUGAGACUUUCUCUCCAAUUGCUAAGCUGGCUUCUGUUCGGUUAUUCAUUUCUCUUGCUGCUACUUUUCAUUGGCCACUUCACCAACUAGAUGUUAAAAAUGCAUUCCUUCAUGGUGAUUUACAAGAAGAAGUUUACAUAGAGCAACCACCCGGGUUUGUUGCUCAGGGGGAGUCCAGUAAGGUCUGCAAACUGUGAAAGUCAUUGUAUGGACUGAAACAAUCACCACGUGCUUGGUUUAGGAGAUUUAGUGAGGUGGUUAUUGAAGUUGGCUUGCAAAGAAGUGUAUAUGAUCAUUCAGUAUUCUUUAGACAGUCUAUAGUUGGGUGUAUUUUGUUAGUGGUAUAUGUUGAUGAUAUUGUGAUUACUGGGAGUGAUAGUAGUGGCAUAAGUAUGUUGAAAGCUUUCCUAGGCACAAGUUUCAGACAAAAGAGUUAGGUCCCUUAAAAUAUUUCUUAGGAAUAGAGGUCUCUCGAAGUGGUAAAGGAAUUUGUUUGUCUCAAAGAAAAUAUGUUCUAGACCUACUAGAUGAGACAGGUUUAAUGGAAGUAAAACCAGUUGAUGCUCCCAUGAUAUCAAAUGUGAAACUUGGGCCUGAAGAUGGAGAUGUAUUUGUGGAUGCAGAGAAACACAAGAGAGUGGUGGGAAAAUUGAACUAUCUCACGAUUACUCGUCCAGAUAUUGCCUUUUCAGUUAGUGUUAUUAGUCAAUUUAUGUCAUCUCCCAGAACUUCAUAUUGGGAUGCUGUAAUUCUUAUAUUGAAAUAGUUUAAAGGAGCUCCAAGGCAUGGAAUUCUUUAUAGAGACCAUGGUCAUUGUAGAGUUGAGGGUUUUUCAGAUGCAGACUGGGCAGAUUAUCCUGUUGAUAGGCGUUUUACUACAGGGUAUUGUGUAUUCGUUGGAGGUAAUCUGGUCUCUUGGAAGAGUAAGAAAUAAAGUGUUGUAGCUCGAUCAAGUGCAGAAUCUGAAUACCGAGCUAUGGCACAGGUAACUUGUGAACUUAUGUGGCUACAUUACUUACUUGGGGAGAUUGGCAUCGAUAAGUCCUACUCUAUGAACUUGUGGUGUGAUAAUCAAGCUGCUAUUCUCAUUGCUACAAAUCCGGUAUUUCAUGAGAGAACAAAGCACAUAGAGGCAGUCUGCCAUUUUGUUUGUGAAAAGGUUAUAGCAAAUUUCGACCAAGCAUGUUAGGGUAGGAGAUCAAUUAGUCGAUAUGUUUACUAAAGCGUUAACUGAGACUCGAGUAAACUAUAUUUGUAACAAGUUGGGCAUGAUUGAUAUUUAUACUCCAGCUUGAGGGGGGGUGUUAUGAAUUUUGUGUCUAAUUUAGGAAUAAAUGUGAUGUAUGAUAGGAAUAGAAAGUCUAGAACUAUUUCUUUGUUACAAAGGAUUAUUUCCUUUUGAGAAAUAACCUCUUCAUGUAUAUAUAUUUGGUGAAUAGUAAUGAGAAACGAAGGUUUUUUCCAAAUCAAUUAACAAAAAGUAAAAUGUCCAAACAUGAUUGGAAACAAAGAGUUCAGAAACAUGUUAUUUUCUUCAGUAAAUACCGACAUCUAUCAAAUAUCACUUACUCUUUGGAGAUGUCAUUUCUUCUGUGGGGGAAGAGGAAUUGAGGGUUGUGCUGUUUGUUCAGAACCUUCGAUGGUUAUGUAAGGUUCUUGAUAAGGGAGGCUACAUAGUUGAGAGGAAUUAGUACCUUUGGAUCCUCAAAGCUUGAUGAUUCAAUGAGCCCUGGGAUUGGCUCAGUUUCAAUGCUUUGAGUGUAUAGGAUAUGACAGGAAAAAUCAAAAGAUUUUGGAUAGUGAAGUACCCUAGGGGGUCAGUUGUGAAUGAACUAGGAGGAUGCUAACGGAAGUCAAGCAGCACGAGUAGGGUUUGAUUCCGCGGUGGAUGGUAUGGUCAUAGUGAACUGAGGAAAGGAUGGAUUCUGAAAAGUUUUACUAGCUGGGCUUGUAAAUAGCAGGGAGCUUAACUGGAAAAAAUGUUCAGUAAUUCAGUGCUGGAAUUCAUGAAAGAAUGUGGAGAGAAGGGGAACGUUUCUGGUUUGAUGUAGAGAAGUAGAUUGGAAGAAUUCAGUAGUUUCAAACUGACAUAGAUCAAAUCAGAUGUCUUCAUCAACCAUGGGAAGUACAGCUCUUGCAGCAUAGUAAUAUUGAAGAAUAAAAUUCUGGGGCAAUGCCUGGUCUUAUCCCAAGCAAUCAUGGAUCAAAGGUGUCAAAUGAACUUCGACUUGAGUUUGUGAGGACCUGCCUAAAUUAUCUGCCUAACCACUUGAUGAAAAAGUUUAAGUUGUUAGAGAUGGUCACAUAUAUAUCAUUUAAAUAUUUUCUUCAAUGCGCCCUCUCAGGUGCUGGCGGGAUUUAUUUUUUUCAUCAAAGCCUAACACGUGCACAAUCUCACUAAAUGCAUGGUGGCUAGACUUGAAAUUAGGACCUGUACUUUGAUAUUAUACCAUGGGGAACCAUUUGAUUUAAAAGCUUAAACUGUUGAAGAGGGCCAUGUGAAUAUCAUUUAAAUCUUGUUUUGAACAUAACCUAAUAGCAAUCUGACCAUAAAUUGAUACAAUUUAGACACGUGCCACGAGAAUAACCAAAUGUCAACAAGUAUGGGAAUUACUGAAAUGCCUUAGACUAAGCAAAGAACUAACAUCUUAGACAAUGCCAAGACACGAUAUGCCACAGUGAAUGCUUCUAGAUGGACUUAGGAGGAUUAUUAUUCUGCAGGAGUAACUGUUAAUUGUGAUGGAUAGACAGCUGAUUUUUUAGGUUUCUGGUAGACCACUGAAUCAUUAGAUUCUGUAAAUUUGUAAUUGUUCUUCACCAACUUUGAUGCUUCAUUAAUAAGGUUAUUCUUUCCUUUGUGAACAAUGAGGAUUACUAAUUUUAUGUCUUGGGAUCUUCCACAAUGAUAUAACUUACUUAUGAACUCUCUCAGCAUUUAAACCAUAAGAUUUCUUCUUUUCCUUUUUAUAUGUUUACUUAAUCUGACUUCUUUCAAUUUCGUUUCAUGAUUAUUGUGGCCUUUUAUUCUGCAUAUUGGAUAGAUGAUGAAUGCUGCUCCUGAAUAAUCUUGACAGUAAUAAGUAGGUUAUCUGACUGGCUUGUGUGCAUGCAAAGUAACAAGGGUAAUUUUGGUGAGCAGUGAUAUGCACUUCAAAAGUCUGUUGGUUUUUGAGUUUUUGGUCUAGAGCUUUAUGAUUCUGGAGAAGUUCCUUCGGGCAUUUUUAUAUUGCAAUGGUUCUAGGAGUAUUUUUGUAUGGGGAGACAGGUUGGACACGCAUAGUUAGGGAUUGAUGAUGCUAUUUACAGUUGAUGUUUUCAGUCUUCACUUUGUACAAUUGUUAAGGAUUUAUGGUUUUAGAUAUGUUGGAUUUUAUGCGCAAUAUUAAAGAGAUGAAAAAGAUAAUCAACACAAGAAUUUACGUGGUUCGGCGGUGUGCCUACGUCCACAAGAGCGAAGCGAAGAUUUCUUUAUUCAGUAGUGAAAAAUAGGGUUACAACAUAUUAUUUAUUCCGUUCCGUUAGAUGCGCUCAGCUCCUCUCACUCCACUCCGCUCCGCGCCGGCAUCGGCCCAUUUGAUCCAAUAUCUGUGUUCCACUCUAUAUGAACUACAUGCACAACAAGAUACUAGUAUGGUGGGUAAGAUCAAUUUAUAGCUCCUUAGAAUGAGAAUUCAAAGGUGAAAAUUGUGGAACCAAGUUGCCCUAUGCAAUGCCUCUAUCUUCUUUUGCUUGAUUUUUACCUCCAACCUUUCACUAAUAAGCAAGAAUUAUCCUUUGGACGAUUUCAAUUCAUUCCAGAGAGGCUAUGCUGUAUACUAGAGUAAAGAGUAAAAAAGAAACCUCAAUUUACUUUUAGAUAGUUCCUUCUGGCCUCAAAGUAAAACACUCUCUAAGAUUUCGUACUCAGGCAAGUUUGUUGGUCUGUGUGAAAACCAGCAUGCAGUUCAAUGAUUACCAUUUUUCUUAGGGUUUAAAGUUAUUUUAAUACUUAGGUUCUUUUUGUUAGCCAUAUAUAAUUGCAUGUAUUUUGGGAUUUGAUUGUAAUUUAUAUUAGGUUAAUAGGCUAAUUAGUUCUUACCAUAGUUAGAAAACUUACCAUAAUUGUUGUAAAUCUUAUCUUUAUAAGAGAGGUACUCCCUCGAUGGAAGGGAUAAUUUUUGAACAAUUCAAACCAUUUUAACAUGGUAUCAAAGCCCUCCCUUUAGAAUUUCCCUUCGAGUCUCGAUUUACUUUUGGUGCGCUUCAAUUGAGGAAUUUUUCUUGGGGUGUCGGCAAUUUUUUGUUCAUGAAAUUUCUCUGGAGCAAGCUUCUUGGUCAGCAAAAUCGGCAAUUGGAGUUGUCUUCUUGGUCGAUAGAUCCCACUAUUGGAUUUUCUUGGUGGUGGCUUGUUGAUUUGUGAUUGUGCAGGGAAUUUUUUUAGCUUUCCUCUUCUCGGGCUCCACAUGGUAUAUCUUCUGUGUCAAAUAAAUUCUGCCGACGAUUGCGUCUCGGGUUCUCGCCGUUCGCUGUUCGAAUUUUGUUUGACAGAUUCUUGGAUUGCGUCUUCGCAUAGGGCGUCGUCUACAGGAAGUCGUCGUUUUUUCUCUACUGGACACAGACAGACGAGUGAGCAGGUAAUCUUUUGGGUUUCAGAAUUCGGGCUGUGCAUAUUGGGCUUGGGCUUGAAUCCUUUUAAUAUCAUUUUGGAUUUAUCUCUUAAAAUUUAGACCGUUAAUCUUGGAUUUGUUUUGGACAUUUUCUUCGGAUUGGGCUUGAGAUUAUUUAGUUGGACUUGAUAUUUUAUUGGACUUGUAUCUUUGCAUUUCUUCAUGUCUGGAGAAAAUUCAAUUAUUCGUUUUAAUGGAAAAAAUUACUCGAGUUGGGAAUUUCAGUUCCGGAUGUUUGUGAAAGGGAAAGAAUUAUAGGGUCAUUUGGACGGCUCUUCUAAGGCUCCGACCGAUAUCAGAGAACUUAGCUCAUGGGAAAGUAAGGACGCCAAGAAUAAGUUCUGUUGAACCACACAUGGUCAACAAUCUUCGUUCGUUCACUACUGCUAAAGAAAUGUGGGAUUAUCUCAGGCGUGUUUACUAUCAAGAUAACUCUGCCCAGAAGUUCCAAUUGGAGUUAGAAAUUGCUAACUAUAAAUAGGGUAAUCUCUCUAUUGACCAAUUUUAUGCUGGAUUUCUUAAUUUAUGGAGUGAAUAUUCUGGAAUAGUUUAUUCCAAAAUUCCCAAGGAAGCUUUAGCUGCUCUUCAAGUUAUCCAUGCUGAAAGUCAAAGAGAUCAAUUUUUUACGAAGUUGAGACCUGAACUUGAGACUGCAGGGCCUGGCUUACUGAACCGUACUCCUGUUCCCUCUUUGGACGUAUGUUUGGGAGAACUAUUAUGUGAAGAAGAAUGUCUUGCCACUCAACUCGGCAUAACCGAAGAAUCAAUGACUACUGAGAUGGUUAAUGUGGCGUACGCUGCUCAAGGAAAAGGAAAAAUGAAGACCCAGAUACAAUGCUACAGUUGCAAGGAGUUUGGGCAUAUUGCGAAGAACUGCAAUAAGAAAUUCUGUAAUUAUUGCAAAAAGGAUGGACACAUCAUUAAAGAUUGUCGCUUACGACCUCAGAAUAGGCAAGGCUCAACUUUUCACAACGCAAUCCAGUCUAACUCAGCUGUUUUGUCCUUUGCUUCCACUCCUACUGUUUCUUCGUCUACUCUUACACCUGAAAUUGUUCAAUAGAUGAUUGUUUCUGCUUUUUCUGCUCUUGGUCAUCAAGGUAAGAAAAAUCUACUUGUCUCUCCUUGGUUGGUCGAUUCUGCAGCCUCAAAUCAUAUGACAAGUAAUACAGAGGCUCUGAUUAAUAUUCGUAAGUAUAAAGGUGAUCAACAUAUUCAAACUGCCAAUGGGAGUACUCUUCCUAUUACAGCAAUUGGAAAUUUGGGAUCUUCUUUCACUAAUGUAUUUGUGUCACCAGAAUUAUCUACGAAUUUAAUUUCUGUUGGACAAUUGGUUGAUGAUAAUUGUGAAAUCCGUUUUAAUCAGAAUGGUGGUUGUGUGCAGGAUCAAGCGUCGGGGAAAGUGAUCGCGAAGGGCCUAAAGUGGGACGUUUAUUUCCUCUUCAAUUUUCCAUUUCUGAUUCAUUUGCUUGUACUGCUAUUAUUAAUAGUAAUGUUUGGCAUAAGAAAUUGGGACAUCCUAAUUCUAAUGUUUUGAUUCAUCUCUUAAAGAAUGGUUAUUUGGGCAAUAAAAAUUCAUCUUCUCAUGUGUCUUCUGAUUGCAAUUCUUGUAAACUUGGUAAAAGCAAAUCCUUACCUUUUCCUUCACAUGGUAGUCGUGCUUCCACAUGUUUUGAGAUUAUCGUAAGUCCCGUACUUUCGCAUGCUCAAUAUAAGUAUUUCGUAAUAUUUAUUGAUGAUUAUAGUCAUUUCACUUAGGUCUAUUUCCUUCGAGCUAAAACUGAUGUGUUCUCCAUCUUUCAAAACUUUGUUGCUUUUGUUGAGACCCAAUUUUCUACUAGCAUUAAGAUACUUCGUUGUGACUCUGGAGGGGGAAUACAUGUCCAACAAUUUCCAAGAAUAUCUAAAAACAAAAAGGGAUUCUCUCCCAACGAUCUUGACCUUACACUCCCCAAUAGAACGGGGUUGCGGAGCGUAAAAAAUGUCACUUUUAAGAUGUUGUUCGUACUUUAUUAAUUAAAUCUUCAGUACCCUCUAGAUUUUGGGUCGAAACUUUAUCGACAGAUGUCUAUUUGAUUAAUCGUCUUCCCUCUCCAAAUUUACAAUUUGACUCUCCGUAUUCUCGAUUAUUUAAUGUAGCACCUGAGUAUGAUUCACUUCAUAUAUUUGUCUAUGUUUGUUUUAUCCACUUACCUUCUACUGAAUAUCACAAACUUACAGCUCAGGCUGCUCGAUGUGCAUUCCUCGGGUAUAGUAAUGCACACAAAGGGUAUGUGUGUUAUGAUGUGGAUGCUAACAAAAUUCGUAUCUCUCGAAAUGUGGUUUUCUUUAACAACGAAUAUUUCUUCCAGUCUCGUGUUGUUCAUGAUUCUGCCUCUAUUUAGCUUCCUACGUUUGAUGAUAUAUCUUGUAAUGUUGAGCGCUUUAAGGCGGGAUUUGUAUACUAGAGAAGUCCCCUCCUGCCACCUUCGGACACUGAACCGUCGCCUGAUCCCAUCAUCCCUGAACCUCGAUGAUCUUCUUGGGUCUCACGCCCUCCAGAUAAGUAUGGUUUCUCGCAUAUUGCUAAUCAAGCUACCCUUGAUACUACUUCUGUGCCCAAAUUUUACUCUCAAGCUUCUAUUCAUGCAUUUUGGUGGAAAGCUAUGCAGGAAGAACUUCAGGCACUUUAGGAUAAUCAUACUUGGGAUAUUGUUCCAUAUCCUGAUGGGGUAAAACUUCUUGGAUGCAAAUGGGUAUAUACGAUUAAACUUCGGCCUGAUGGUACUAUAGAGAGAGAUAAAGCCCGAUUGGUGGCUCUUGGGAACUAUAAGGUGUAUGGUCUUGAUUAUGAGGAGACCUUCGCCCCUGUCGCAAAGAUGACUACUGUGAGGACUAUUAUGGCUAUAGCCGCUUCUAGAGAAUGGUCUCUCAAGCAGAUGGAUGUGAAAAAUGCAUUCUUACAUGGUGAUUUGAAGGAGGAAGUAUAUAUGAGUCCUCCUCCUGGUAUGUUCUCUCACUCUUCUACUGAGGUUUGUCGGUUGAGGCACUCUUUAUAUAGAUUGAAACGGGCACCAUGCGCUUGGUUUGAGAAGUUCCGUACCACUUUACUUGAUUUUCAUUUCACUCAAAGUCAGUCUGAUUCCUCCCUAUUUCUUAAACGCACUAUUGAUGGACUUGUUGUGCUUUUGGUAUAUGUGGAUGAUAUUGUGAUCACAGGAUCUGACACUCAGUCGAUUGUGCAACUUCAGCAGCAUCUUAACACCACCUUUCAUAUGAAAGAUCUUAGUUCUCUACAGUAUUUUCUCGGUUUUCAGGUGCAUUCCUAUCCUCAUGGUCUACUUAUACAUCAACACAAGUAUACCCAAGAGAUUCUCACCUCAGCUGGCCUUCAAUCUGGGAAUUCCGUGCUUACUCCACUAGAAGUUAAUUUCAAGCUCAGCCAAGAUGGAGGAGAACUCUUACCUGAUCCAUCCUUAUACCGACAGCUUGUAUGAAGUUUGAACUAUUUGACAAUUACUCGACCCGAUAUUUCUUUUGCUGUACAACAAGUCAGUCAGUUUAUGCAGGCUCCACGACAACCUCAUUUAGCAACCGUACGAAGAAUUCUUAGUUACCUCAAGGGUACAUCUGGUCGAGGGUUGUUUUUCCCUAUAGGGAAUUCUUUGCAAUUAAAGGGUUAUAGUGACGCUGAUUGGGUUGGUUGUGUGGACACUCGACGUUCAGUUACUGGUUGGUGCAUGUUUCUUGGUGAUGCACUUAUAUCUUGGAAGAGUAAGAAGCAGGAUCGUGUCUCGAAGUCCUCUACUGAGUAUCGUGCUAUGUCAUCCGCCUGCUCAGAAAUUGUGUGGCUUCGGGGUUUGUUAGGAGAACUUGGAAUCCCUUAGCUUGCUUCUACUCCGCUUUAUGCUCAUAACACCAGUGCUAUUCAGAUUGCCGCAAAUCUUGUAUUUCAUGAACGCACCAAGUAUAUUGAAGUAGAUUGCCAUUCUAUCCGUGAAGCCCUUGAUCAACAUGUGAUUACACUUCUUCACAUCUCCACGGAACAUCAAACUACAGAUGUUUUUACCAAGGCCCCUAUCUCGCCAAUGUCAUCAGUUCAUGAUUGACAAACUGAUGCUUUUUGAUCGACCAGUAUCAAUUUGAGGGGGGAUGUUAGCCAUAUAUAAUUGCAUGUAUUAUGGGAUUUUAUUGUAAUUUAUAUUAGGUUAAUAGGCUAAUUAGUUCUUACCAUAGUUAGAAAACUUACCAUAAUUGCUGUAAAUCUUAUCUUUAUAAUAGAGGUACUCCUCGAUGGAAGGGACAAUUUUUGAACAAUUCAAACCAUUUUAUCACUUGUUUCAAUCAAAAUGACUAGACAAUGUUCUAACUUUGUUGUUCACAGAUUUUUACAUCUCUAUUUGAUUCUAUUCAUUGGUCUGCAGUACAUUACAAACUAGCUCCAUUGGCAUCCUAGUUUCCUUGUAAUUGGAUGUGAAAUUUUUAAAUUAUUUUUUCCAGAGUUGUGGGGGUCCUAAUGCUCAUGGGAUGAAAAGUGCCAGUGGUAAAAUGGCAAAACAAGCUGCAUUGGCUUUUGUCAAGCGGACAUUGGAACGAUGUCGGGAAUUUGAUGUAACUGGAAAGAGCUGCUUUGGUGAGCCUUUGUAUAAAGAAAUUUUCCUUUCUGGAGUUGCACACCUCGGUGACAUACAAGCAGUGAAUUCAAGUGCUGAUAAUGAAUCUGGAAAGCAGCAGUUUAACACAUCUGGAUGUUCUAUUGAAGUUAGAACUUCAGGUUGGUCCCAUUGAUAGAUACCUGAAUGCUUAUCAACAUUUUAGUAUCUUUAAAUAAGUCUUACAUUUGCAGGUUUUCUGCAUUCUAAUUUAACUAGCACUACUUAGAAUAGAAACUAAUACAUAUCUCUGGCUAAAUCUGAUGGGACCAUCAGAUAUGUAUAUCCAUAAGCCCUGUGGAUGAGGUUUAUGUAUGAAACACGGUUCUCACGUUCUCAACCCUUGACAACAUGCAUUUGUGACUAAAUUUUUAUGAAAAUUAGCAUGAUAAGAUUUACUUUACUCUGAAGAUUGAAUGAUUUUCUUGCAAAAGAUUGUGGGCAAAAUAAAAUAAUGUGACAAAAACAUUUUUCCUGAUUAGUCUUUAAGACAUGCUUCUAGCUGUAAUGUGAAAUGUUUGAAGUUAAAAGGAUCCGAGUAGGUAGGUUAAUUUAGGCACAGUAUUGUAUACAUAGGGCAUUAAUGGUAUAAAAGACUUGUUUGACAAGCCUCUAGCUAUUUUUUCUUAUGUUAUGAUGGUACUUUUUUUGUCCAUUAUCUUAGUAUUGGAGGUGUUUUUUGUUUUGCAGCUCCCUUGGGAGCACAGCACAGCCCAUCUUCAAACAAUCAAGAAAUUUAUUCUUCUGGAGCUCCCAAAUCGGCAAAUCUAGGUUCUGAACAAACUACUGGCAAAGACAACAUCUGGUCGAAUAGGGCGAAGAAGUGCGAGUUACCGCCUGAUGAAACUGUUGGUGGUACACUUAGCUCAUCCACCAAUGUCUCAUCAGGCAUUGGAAGUUCUAUUUUGAGCAGCGCAAAAGGGAAAAGGAGUGAGAGAGAAGGAAAGGGAAAUAGCAGAGAGGCGCUAUCCAGAAGUGGAAGCACUAAAGUUGUUCGGGCUGCACUGGCCAAUGUCAAGGGAGAGAGAAAGCCUAAAGCAAAACCUAGACAGAAAACAGGUCAACUCACUGCUUCUGUCAAUGGCCCUCUUGGAAAGAUGUCUGAGCGGCGAAAAACAACAUUGCUUUCUGCACCCAUAUCAAAUGAGAGGAGUGGAAGUGGCACUGACAAUGAUAAAAAUGACGAUAAUGUAGACCUCUUGGAGGAACCCAUAGAUUUGUCUGGCUUGCAACUUCCUGGAAUGGGCGAUCUAGCUGUACAUGAUGAUCUUGCUGGUCAAGGAGAGGAUCUAGGGUCUUGGUUGAACAACAUUGAGGACGAUGUAUUGCAAGAUCAUGACUAUAUGGGUGGGCUUGAAAUUCCUAUGGAUGAUCUAGCAGACUUGAAUAUGAUGGUUUGACCUUUCAAUCUUUGUAUAUUCCUGUCUAUUAUACAAUCACAGGUGAAAAAUCGUUGUUCGUGGAAGACCAGUUACAAGGAUGUCAUGUGACUCAGUCCUGGCUGUGAGUGGGCCAUAUAUUCUUUUGGUUACUCCCUACACAAGUUGAGGUUUGAGUGAACCUCUGAGACGCUUGAAUGUUUUUCCUGUUCAAGUUGACACCUUGACUGUAAAGAUCAUUUUGUUUGACGUUAGUAUCUUAAUGAUAAGGUCUUAGAAAACCUAUAUUUUGGUUGUAGCAAUUACAUAUCAGAGAGCAAUGUCUUUGUACAUAAAAUUUAUAUUUUCAAUAAGUUACCAUUUUGUUUAUUUUGCAAUAUGGAGUAGGUGUUGUGAGAUGUUUUGACUUGUGUGUAUUAUGAGCUUCUAUUUCAGAUUUGAUUAAGUUGAUAACCUUAAAAGGUCGACUCCUUAUCUAUUGAAGUUACAGUUGCCCUAACUAUUUUGAGUGUGUAUGAUGCAGAAAGCCCUCAUUGUUCCCAUUGACAUCUGAGAUUCCUCGUUGAAUACGAAGGUAUUAACAGUGUAAGCUAAGAGGUGGUGCAUGUGCCGGAUUAUGGUCAAGUGGAUGAACUGUUUUAUUGGGGAUGCAAUCUACUGCAGACCAUAUAUCCUAUUUAAUCCCCAGGUUGACUUCCUUCAAAGUAUGCAUAAUUAACAUCCAGGACUUUCUCCGUGAUUGUUUAGUUAAAUGCUACUUAUAACUGGAGAGGAGCUACAAACUUGACUCCAGUAUAUAUAGGGUUUGCCAAUAUGUUGGUUAUCAAUUACUGAAUUGUAUGCUGUUGUGCUACUAAUGCAGCAUUUGUGAAGAAGUUCCGAGGCUUAUUUAAGAACUAGCUGCUUUUGAUUUUCCAAAAGUCACGUGCUCUUCACUAAUUUCCUCAUAUUGUCAUAGGAUAAUUAUAUAUUAUUCAUUUUAUUUCAUUUUUGUAUUAUAAAGUUUGUUUCAUUGACUAUGCAUCACUUAGUAUUGCAUAAUAUGUCCUCGAGAAAUUUCCUCUAAAUCAAGGAAAUAUUAUGAUUAUCUUGCUCCAGGGGUGAGAGAUUAUGUGGCUGUCUUUAUUUUCGUUGGAGUUACCCUACAGACUCUUGGAGGCUGAAUGCAUUUCUUGACUACAGUUAUUUGAAAACAGCAUGCCUUGGCAGCAAGUAUUUGAUGGCCCAAUAUUUUGGACACACUUCCUGUGCCAUCUGUCUUGGGAAAAUUUAUUCCUGCUGCUGUUCGAAGCAGCCCAAAAUAUAUUCUGUCACAGAUUCUCACUCCAGAUAUGUGGUAAAUCAUUGUUUUUACCUGUUUGAUUUUGAAGAUUUAUUUAUCUGAAUUUUAGCAAUUAGUUUUGCUAAAUUACAGGGGUAACAUCCUUCUGAAUAUUGUGGGUUUCAAUUUUUCUGAAGGUGUUUUUUCCAAUAAAAAUAUUUUUAAACACUGCAGACUAUUACAUGAAUACAAAACUUCUGUGCCAAUGAUGCAGUCAAAGUAAGUCCACUUAUGAUGCCCUAUGUUGCCUGCUACUCACAGUAAAUAUUUUUGUAUGAGGAUGUGGAGAAGUGAAUCCUUUUGUUCUGGUAUGUGGAUUUUUAUUAUUUAUAUCUGUCCAUCACACUUCACAAGUAGGAACAGUAUUCCUACCAAAUGAUAAAAGUUACAAAUCUCUGAGUCUCACAGCUUAAUGUUUAUUUCAUUCAGACAGGAACUCCUCUCCAAGUGGCAGCACUUGUACAAUUGAUUGUGCAGAAUAUGCUACCAGAAAUUACCUCUUCAUGUAAGGUAUUCGUAGUCAAUUUGUUUGAAGCAUUUUACUAAGUUCUUAUGUCAUUUUCAAAUAUCUAAACCUUUCACUGAUAGUACAAGCUAAAGAAUUAAAAAUCUGAAAAUAAAUCUAUCACAUUCGAAAAAUGUUGUGCUAAUAAAAAGGUCAGCGUUAAACAAAAUGUGGACGAAAUGAAAAUGCUUAUAUGAUUGUUGAUACUGCAAUGGAGGAUAAUAUGGAAGAGCCGUAUGAUUUCAGAACUUGUUCAGAUGUGAUGUAAUGCUAUCUGUAAAGUUGUGUGCAAGGCUUUAUUAGAUGUUUUAUUUUUAUUUAAUUGUUUUAUUUUUACUAAUUAAGGUCUAAUUUAUAUUUUUAAUUAUCUAGGGUUGAAUUUAUAUUUCAUUAGGAGUUUAGGAAGUAUGAAUGCAAUUUUAAUUAGGUUUGCUCUAGGUAUUAGAGCCACAACUGUAUUUCAGGGACAUUUUGAUUGAUUGACAAAUUAUAUUAAUAUAAAUGUGAGUUUUUUCUUCAAUACUGAACCAAAUCAAGGUUUUCGCUUGUUAUUGUUCUUGCUCACUUCUAUCUGCAUCAAGAUGGCCUGCACCAAUUUGUAGAAUAUCACUUGAUACAUUAGGUUAUCCCAGGGAAACAAAUUAUUCCAGAAAUUUGGCAAAAAGUGACAACAUUGAGUAUUUACAAGUGAAGUUUGGCCAAGGAGUGCACCAAGAGAUAACAUUUGACAGAAUAAAUAAGACAAAUUGCAUCCUCUAUCCCCAAACUAUACCCCAUUUGCAGUUUUAUCCCCAACAAUUUUUCUUGGCACUGAGCACCUCAACUUUGUUUCCAUCCAAAAUGGUUGUUAAGUUGGCAACGAAAGGCAUUCACACUUAAAACUCAAAUAAACAAAAAAAUAAAUACAAGGAAGGAAGGAGGAAGAAGAAAAGAGAAAAAAAAAAAAAAAAAAAGAAGAAGAAGAAGAAAAAAAGGAAAACAAACACCUUCUUUCUCAAUCCUCUGCAGCACCCACCGCCACCAAUGCUACCUCUUCGCGUGCAAAUGUGAGUAUAGGGUGGGGCUGCGAGUGUAAUUAAUGUGGAAAAAAAUUAGAAAAAGGCAAGAGCUUGUUUUGUAGGUAAAAUGUGGAUGAAUAACAAAAUCAUAAUAUAUUGACAAUCAGUUGCAGUAAACCUCUGUUACCUUGGUUUAUCUGAGUUGCGCAACCAUUGUCGUCUAUAUAGUCCUUUUGAGAACAAUUGUUCAAUAACUUAUAUUCCUGGCAUUCAUGUAGAAGGAACUGCAGAUAUGCACCUUGGAAAGCAAAAUACUUCUAGCAAUCACUAUCUUGAUAUUGUCAAAGCCAUGCUCUUGGUGAUCUGUUUGGGGCUUUCAAUAUAUAUGCUGGGCUUUUUGACUGAAAACUGGGAUGGAUCGUGGUCAUGAGUACUUUACUUUGUUAGCAUUAUGGGAAUAUGAAGGCGGAUGGUUUCCUCGUGCUGCAUUAUUAUUGCAAGUUUAAUGAAAGGGUUUGUUGGGUGCAGUUACCCCCACUGGAGUUUGAGGGAAGGUCUUUGAGAUGGAAAAGAAAUAGUGAGAUGUCAUGUAAAUUGUAAUUCUGACGAAUCAAUGUGAAAAAACUUGUUCUUUUUGUUACGUAUUGUCAUAAUUAGCCAACCUACUUGGGCCUAUGGCCCACUCAAUCCGAACCAUGUGGCGCUCUAACCGAGGUGGCACGUAUGGCCGAGGCCCUUCAUGUCGAGACCCAUAUACCGAGGCCUGUGAAAGUAGCCGAAGCCCUAAAGCGGAAGUAUUACAUAUGGCAGAAGCCCUGAAUCCAAAGCCGAAGCAGAAGCCUCCGAACCGUGAAGGAAUGUCUUCCAUGAUUACUUCUCCCAAGAGAUCUUCUACAUAAAGAUCUUACUUGAAUGAUUGAUGAAACGUUUGUCAUAAGUGUACAUGUCAAGUUUUUUCAUUAGCAUGGGGGUUCUGCAUAAGCAAUAAAUGCGCAGCAAGCUAGCAAGUCAAGGAUGAUGCCUAGGAUUGGAUGUUUGGAUUAAAGAGAUGAGGCCGCGUGCCACCUCAUCCAAGGACUGUCAUGUACCACUAUAAAUACUUCCCUUGUGUAACAUUAAAGGGCUAAUGCAAGAAUCAAUACAAGAAACCAUACUUUACUCUCUUUCAAAUUAUCUUGCAACACAAUACAAGUUAAUACAUAUUUACAUGCACAUUCAUGAGCACUUAUUGGUAAUUAUUGUACAAUCGGAUUACGAACAUCCCAUCGGAUUCCGAACGUUCUCG
rnacentral:lncRNA from 1 species